GUCUAUGGCCAUCCCACCCUGAAUGUGUCCGAUCUCGUCUGAUCUCGGAAGCUAAGCAGGGUCGGGCCUGGUUAGUACUUGGAUGGGAGACCACCUAGGAAGACUAAGUGCUGUAGGCA
rnacentral:rRNA from 1 species